AGAGACAGAUAAGCAGUUGUCUUGAGAAUAUAAGGUCACUGGCAUUCCAUAAAUGGAUUCUUGUGCCUGCUUCAGAAACAAGUGGUGAAGUGCGGAGAAAUGUGGAGGAGAAGUGUGGAGGAGAAAGCAAUGGUGAUGCUUCUCUUUCCCUUCUGCACGUGGAACUUGGAAGUCGGCCUGAGCCCCUUGAGAUGGUGACUGUGGGCUGAACUCAGGUACUGGGGGAAGUCAAGUAAUAAAACUGUACCUUAGACUACUGUGUGGUUCCUGCUGUCUGACUUGAGAUCACUUCUGGCAGUGCUCAGAGGACAAUAUGUAGUACAGGGCAUUGACCUGAGAUUGGCUGUGUGUAAGAUAACUAUUUUAAUUCUGGAGAUUUAUAGAACACAAUCUGUACAGCCUUGACAUUGAACUUUCAUCAUCAUGAGGAAAUGUCCCAAGGACAAUUGGAUGUGAUGCUUGUAUGUGAAGCUGUUAUCUGUGAAAGA